GGGACGGCCACGGAGCUGCCCGGCCGGGCCCAGUGAGCCCUGUCCAAGCUGCGCAUAAAUAGAACCCGAGUAAGGGCUGCAAAACGCAUUCAGGUGGGACUGCAGUUACCCUGGGGAGUAGAGGGCAAAAGGAAAUUCCCAUCCAGUACUGAUGGAACGGAGUCUCGCUCGGUUGCCCAGGCUGGAGUGCGGUGGCACAAUCUCGGCUCACUGCAACCUCCGCCUCCCGGGUUCAAGCGAUCCUUCUGCUUCAGCCUCCCGAGUAGCUGGGACUACAGGGUGAAGCAUGAAUCUGCACAUGGGGAGGCUUCAGAGGACAACUGAGACAAGAAGCAGGAAGCUGAGAAAGGAGGACACCUCCCACACACACAUCUAGCAAAAGCUGGACAUUUCUGGUCAGUCAUCCUUAUGCAAAGACUUUCUGGAAGGAGCAGUUAUUCUUGGUAAGAAAUGAUUCAUGGCACCUGUCACAGUCCUAGGUAGUGACAGACACCAGCCUGCACUGUAGCUGAAAACCCCUGAGAAGCCACAGAUGUGCAGUCUUCCCAGCUUGACUACAUGCCCAAGUCUUCUGAACCUUAGUUUCCCAACCUAGGAAAUAAAAAUUGUGCCCUUUACCCCUCAUGAACCUUAUUGGGGUCUUAUAAGAUUGCUCCUGGUUGCCAUUUGGCCCACAGAUGGGUUUAGUUUGGUGGACAGUGUCCCGAAAGACUUACAAAUUCAGAUCUGACUUGUUCAUUUGUGUAGGGGAGAGUUGGUGGCACACAUCCUCUCUGUCACUGUAAGUAUGUUCCAAAUGUCACAUUAGGUCCACUGGCACGUGUAAGCCCUGUCUGGCAUUUGCCUGGUCCCUGCAGGCAUUUGGGUUGGCAGUAAACUUUCUUUUCUAACAGAUUUCUGGAAAUGUUUACAUGUAGCAUAUAAUAGAAUAAUAGAACCACAGAACUUCCACAGUAAAGCCUUCCUUCUUUUAUGUUCCAAAAGCUAAAAUGUACUAACAACCUCCAAAAGGCACUAUGACAUUGGAGUUUAAACUUUGUGGAGCAGGACUCAAAGCUGGACUUAGCUGCUUGCUAACUUUGACCUUGAGUGAAGAGUUAGCAGAUGAUUUAAAGUGUAAAGUAGAAAGAAUUCAUGCUGGUUAGCCCAUUAAAUACCCGUUAAUUAAGCUCUCCAAAAACGCCAUUCAAAAAUGUAUAUGAUAAUCAAAUAUUUAUUGCAAUGUUUCUUAAAAUAGUGAAAAAUUAGAAAACAUUAUAGGGGGCUAGUGUUAAAUCAUGGUGUAACCAGAAAUGAAACAUUAUGCAACCAUAAAAAGGAGUUCUGAAGAGUAGUUCCCGGCAUGAUAUAAUGUGAAAAAAAGCAAAAUACGAAAUUGUGCAAUUCUAAUUUUGCAAAAACUUUCAGCGUACACGACUAUCACUGUAUAAAGUCACAAAGUAGGAAUGGUGAUUGUAUCUUGGAGUGAUGAGAUUAUAAGUGAUUUUUAAUUUUCUUCACUAUGCUUUACUGCAAUUAAACAUUUACAAUUCAAUUUUAUUUAACAAAAAUAUAUAAAACUUCUCAAAUGGAGUAACUUCAGUACCAGACAUCCUCAACCUGACUGCUCUGGAGGUUAUUGUGCAGAGCAAUCUUUGACCAUAUGGUCACAGAUCCAGAAGCCAGACGUCUGUGGGGCUUUGCUCCUGAGACUGUGACCUUUGAUUCCUGCACUCCUCCUCUUGCCAUCUGACGCCGGUCUGCGCCUGUGACUGAGUGAAAAUCGUCAUAACUGUACUCGGAGGUUAACUCUGGCAUGACUGGGAUGGAAUCCCAGGCAACAUGCUGGAGGCAGGAAAGAAGGCCAGCCGGCAAGUCAGAACCAAACACCCUGGACGGCACCUUUCCUUACAAAUGCGGUUCACAGGACCCUUGGGGAUCCUCUGCGCACACUGAGGCAAGCAGCAAUGGAAGAAAUUAUCUUCCACUCCCUUCUUGUUGAAAAUGUCUGUUUUCCAGAAAUGAAUUACAGUAAUAGAUUAUGAAAAUUGUUUCCAUUGCCUACAUAACACAGCAGGGAAUUCUAAAAUUUCAAAACAUGUAAUAUACUCAACCUGUGCUUGAGACUGUAGGGUAUUAUUUAAUUUUUCAGUGUUUGAAUUUUGUCUGUUUGAGAAGGGUGUGGCACUCCUUGAGUACAC
rnacentral:lncRNA from 1 species